rnacentral:misc_RNA from 1 species
AACGCACAUUGCGCCCUUUGGUAUUCCGAAGGGCAUGCCUGUUCGAGCGUCAUUAUCACCCCUCAAGCCUCGGCUUGGUGUUGGGCUUCAGUUAUAGCCGUCUACAACUGGCCUUAAAGAUAGUGACGGCGUCCCAGAAGGAACCGGUACGAGGAGCUUCUAAUCAAGCAUGUACGCGGGAUGAUUCUGUGGGCGACGGUCUUUUUACACUGCUCUUAGCUGAGUAUUUUUCAAGUGUUGACCUCGGAUCAGGUAGGAAUACCCGCUGAACUUAA